rnacentral:rRNA from 1 species
UGGGGAAUUUGGACAAUGGGCGAAAGCCUGAUCCAGCAAUGCCGCGUGUGUGAAGAAGGCCUUCGGGUUGUAAAGCACUUUUGUCCGGGAAAGAAAAUCCUUGGCUCUAAUACAGUCGGGGGAUGACGGUACCGGAAGAAUAAGCACCGGCUAACUACGUGCCAGCAGCCGCGGUAAUACGUAGGGUGCAAGCGUUAAUCGGAAUUACUGGGCGUAAAGCGUGCGCAGGCGGUUUGCUAAGACCGAUGUGAAAUCCCCGGGCUCAACCUGGGAACUGGCAAUUGGUGACUGGCAGGCUAGAGUAUGGUAGAGGGGGGUGAGAAUUCCACGUGUAGCAGUGAAAAUGCGUAGAGAUGUGGAGGAAUACCGAUGGCG